GUCUCGACCUGGUCGGGCCGUCGGGCGCCGCCGGCCCCGAUCCGGUGGGUCACGGCACGACCGUGGCCGGGCUGAUCGCCGGCCGGCGCGACG
rnacentral:tRNA from 1 species